CUAAUAGCUAAGAGUAGGAAAAGUACUUUAAAAGUAGUUUACAGAGAGUGGAGGUUUGGUGUGACUCCAUAGCGAAGUUUAAAGGAAAAUCACCUAGGAGCUGAAGGCUGAAAAUAGUAAGUCUAUCCGUAAUUCUGCGUUAAAGAAUAGAGUAUGUUAGUACUUGAAAUUAUACAUUAACACUAUAGGUGGUAUAGCGAAUUCAACUUCGUCCUAUUU
rnacentral:ncRNA from 1 species